GACGAACGCUGGCGGCGUGCUUAACACAUGCAAUUCGAACGGAAAGGCCCUGCUUUUGUGGGGUGCUCGAGUGGCGAACGGGUGAGUAACACGUGAGUAACCUGCCCUUGACUUUGGGAUAACUUCAGGAAACUGGGGCUAAUACCGGAUAGGAGCUCCUGCUGCAUGGUGGGGGUUGGAAAGUUUCGGCAGUUGGGGAUGGACUCGCGGCUUAUCAGCUUGUUGGUGGGGUAGUGGCUUACCAAUGCUUUGACGGGUAGCCGGCCUGAGAGGGUGACCGGCUACAUUGGGACUGAGAUACGGCCCAGACUCCUACGGGAGGCAGCAGUGGGGAAUAUGGCACAAUGGGCGGAAGCCUGAUGCAGCAACGCCGCGUGCGGGAUGACGGCCUUCGGGUUGUAAACCGCGUUCGCCUGUGACGAAGCGUGAGUGACGGUAAUGGGUAAAGAAGCACCGGCUAACUACGUG
rnacentral:rRNA from 1 species